rnacentral:rRNA from 1 species
AACGAACGCUGGCGGCGUGGAUUAGGCAUGCAAGUCGAACGCGAAAGAGGGAGCAAUCCCUCAAGUAGAGUGGCGAACGGGUGAGUAACGCGUGAAGAACCUGCCUUCAACAGGGGGAUAACACUCCCAACGGGGUGCUAAUACCGCAUGAGACCACGGGUCCGCAUGGACCUGAGGUCAAAGGUGGCCUCUGCUUGCAAGCUACCGGUUGAAGAUGGCUUCGCGUCCCAUAGCUAGUUGGCGGUGUAAAAGACCACCAAGGCGACGAUGGGUAGCUGGUCUGAGAGGAUGGUCAGCCACACUGGGACUGAGAUACGGCCCAGACUCCUACGGGAGGCAGCAGUCGAGAGGCUUUGGCAAUGGGGAAACCCUGACCAAGCGACGCCGCGUGGAGGAUGAAGGCCCUUGGGUUGUAAACUCCUUUUGUCGGGGAAGAAAUGCGAUCAGGUAAACAAUCUGGUCGUUUGACGGUACCGGCGAAUAAGCUCCGGCUAACUCCGUGCCAGCAGCC